rnacentral:rRNA from 1 species
GGCAGCAGUAGGGAAUCUUCCGCAAUGGGCGCAAGCCUGACGGAGCAACGCCGCGUGAGUGAAGAAGGCCUUCGGGUUGUAAAACUCUGUCAUCAGGGAAGAAGAAAGUGACGGUACCUGAGGAGGAAGCCCCGGCUAACUACGUGCCAGCAGCCGCGGUAAAACGUAGGGGGCGAGCGUUGUCCGGAAUUACUGGGCGUAAAGGGCGCGUAGGCGGUUAUCCAAGUCAGGGGUGAAAACCUUGGGCUCAACUCAGGGCCUGCCUCUGAAACUGGGUAACUUGAGGGCAGGAGAGGGGAGUGGAAUUCCCAGUGUAGCGGUGAAAUGCGUAGAUAUUGGGAGGAACACCAGUGGCGAAGGCGGCUCUCUGGCCUAACCCUGACGCUGAGGCGCGAAAGCGUGGGGAUCAAACAGGAUUAGAUACCCUGGUAGUCCACGCCGUAAACGAUGAGUACUAAGUGU